rnacentral:rRNA from 1 species
AUUGAACGCUGGCGGCAUGCUUUACACAUGCAAGUCGAACGGUAACAGGCCUUCGGGUGCUGACGAGUGGCGCACGGGUGAGUAAUGCAUCGGAACGUACCCAGAGGUGGGGGAUAACGCAGCGAAAGCUGUGCUAAUACCGCAUGUGAUCUGAGGAUGAAAGCGGGGGACCGAGCAGCAAUGUUUGGCCUCGCGCCUUUGGAGCGGCCGAUGUCGGAUUAGCUAGUUGGUGGGGUAAAGGCCUACCAAGGCGACGAUCCGUAGCUGGUCUGAGAGGACGACCAGCCACACUGGGACUGGGACACGGCCCCGACUCCUACGGGGGGCAGCAGUGGGGAAUUUUGGGCAAUUGGGGGAAGCCUGAUCCCGCAAUGCCGCGUGCGGGAAGAAGGCCUUCGGGUUGUAAACCGCUUUUGGCAGGAACGAAACGGUGUCCGCUAAUACCGGGCGCUAAUGACGGUACCUGCAGAAUAAGCACCGGCUAACUACGUG